CAGGGUCUUGCUCUGUCGCCCAGGCUGGAGUGCAGUGGCACAAUUAUAGCUCACUGCAACCUCCAACUUCUAGGCUCAAGCAAUCCAACUGCCUCAGCCUCCCGAGUAAUAAAUUCCAUUUUAAAGUUGUUUGCCAAUUUCAUUGUCUCUGCAAACUAAUUUAUCCUUUGAAUCCAAUGAUGAGAACUGCAAUCCCAAGGUUUCUCUUUUUGCUUUGGCUGCCAGGAAUUUCAGAGCUAAAUGUAGGCUUAGAUUCUUAAAGUGCCUGGCACAUCUCUCUCUUCCUGUAAUCUAGUUUCUGAUCUUUCUCUUCCAUUUUUAACUUUCUAAUCUGCACUGUCCAGUAUGGUAGCCACUAGUCACGUACAUUUGACAGGUAGGCUAGUCCAAAUUGGGAUGUGCUGUAAGUGUAAAAUAUCUCAGUAAGUUUUAAUAUUGAUUACAUAUUGAAUGAUUUUUUGAUAUAUUGGGUAAAAUUAAGUUAUUAAAAUUAAUUUCACCACUUCAUUUUACUUAUUUUGGCUACUAGAAAAUUUUAAAUUAUAUAUAUGGCUUGCAUUUGUGACAUUAUAUUUCUAGUGGAUGGCACUAUUCUGCAAAUCAUCUGUUUUAUGACUGUGUUAUUAUUGUAAACCUGAAAUCCUUUUGGAAAGCAGGUGAAGUAAUACAAAUAAUAAUACAAAGGUGGCAGCAGUGGAUGGAAUGAGAAAGGGGAGGUCGACUGGGGCAAGUUCUUGUCCUUAUCCUUGUCAAUUUGUCUUUUGCUUGUGUGAUUCACAUACAAACCCCUUGGUAAAGUGUGUUGUCAGCUCUCUUCAUCCCAGGUGAGUAGUAUUCUCAUGGCUCUCCCUUGUCUCCAGAAAAACCUCAGCUUUACUUUAGCUAACAAAUUGGAAACGAUCUGAUAAGACAAUUCACA
rnacentral:lncRNA from 10 species